rnacentral:rRNA from 1 species
UGYGGUAAUAUUGCACAAUGGGCGCAAGCCUGAUGCASCCAUGCCGCGUGUAUGAAGAAKGCCUUCGGGUUGUAAAGAUCUUUCAGCGGGGAGGAAGGGAGUAAAGUUAAUACCUUUGCUCAUUGACGUUACCCGCAGAAGAAGCACCGGCUAACUCCGUGCCAGCCGCCGCGGUAAA